GUUCUCAGUGCGAUCUCUAUCAAGUGCUAUGAGUCUUGAUAAAAUGGAGAAGAGCCCAAGAGAAAUUUUUCAUCCCUUGAUAUAAAAGGAUUUAUUGGUUCUGGAAGAACAAGAGGGAAGUACAAGCCUAACUACUUCUAGCUCACAGACCCGUCCAGUGAACCCAGCUUUGUGUUUUGGUGGGCUUGUGAUGACUUUGAAAUCAAUUGCUCAUUCCAGUAAAAAAAAUUCAUGUUUUUUUGAACGUGACAGCAGAAAUAACUUUAGGCACCAACUGAAUAAUAAUAGAUCACCAGUUUAAGUUAAAAAUUCAUGCUAUACUAUCAAAAUUUAAAGGUAAAUUAUUAUGUAUUAGGUGAUGGUAUAAAGUGUAUGUUCUAAUGUGUAAUGCAAAGAUACAUACAUACCUGAAAGUCCUUAGAGGAAACAAAUUUUUAUGUCUGCUGUUUGAUUGUUUACCAUACGAUAUUUGCCUUUAUU